rnacentral:rRNA from 1 species
GACGAACGCUGGCGGCGUGCCUAAUACAUGCAAGUAGAACGCUGAAGGAGGAGCUUGCUUCUCUGGAUGAGUUGCGAACGGGUGAGUAACGCGUAGGUAACCUGCCUGGUAGCGGGGGAUAACUAUUGGAAGCGAUAGCUAAUACCGCAUAAGAGUAGAUGUCGCAUGACAUUUGCUUAAAAGGUGCAAUUGCAUCACUACCAGAUGGACCUGCGUUGUAUUAGCUAGUUGGUGAGGUAACGGCUCACCAAGGCAACGAUACAUAGCCGACCUGAGAGGGUGAUCGGCCACACUGGGACUGAGACACGGCCCAGACUCCUACGGGAGGCAGCAGUAGGGAAUCUUCGGCAAUGGACGGAAGUCUGACCGAGCAACGCCGCGUGAGUGAAGAAGGUUUUCGGAUCGUAAAGCUCUGUUGUAAGAGAAGAACGAGUGUGAGAGUGGAAAGUUCACACUGUGACGGUAUCUUACCAGAAAGAGACGGCUAACUACGUG